AACUUUUGCCCGGGUAGACCGAUUUCGACAAAUUUUGUUUUAAUCGAAAGGUGGUGUGUGCCAAUUGGUCCCAUUUAAAUUUAUUUGAGAUCUAACAACAACUUUUCGAGCUAUAUCUAAUAAUGCGUUUUUACUUAACGCUUUUUUCGUCGACCUACGUUGUAUUAUACCGCAUAACUUUCUACUGGAUGUACCGAUUUUGAUAAUUCUUUUUUCGUUGGAAAGGGGAUAUCCCUAGUUUGGGACCAUGAAUAGGAAACCAGGAUCUGAUGAUGGGAUCCCAGAGAAAUCGAGGGAAACUCUCGAAAAUCCGCAAUAACUUUUUACUGGUUUCACAUAUAAAUUUUAUCGAGAUCUGAUAACUACUUUUUGAGUAAUCUUUGAUAACGCGUAGUUACUUGACUAUUUUUUCGUCGAUCUACGUUGUAUUACUGGUCGAUGUAAUUGAAGUCGGUUUUUUUUUUCGUUUGGGAGCAAACACAAUUAUUAUGUAAC
rnacentral:misc_RNA from 1 species